GUGAGUGGCGAACGGGUGAGUAACACGUGGACAACCUGCCUCAAGGCUGGGGAUAACAUUUGGAAACAGAUGCUAAUACCGAAUAAAACUUAGUGUCGCAUGACACAAAGUUAAAAGGCGCUUCGGCGUCACCUAGAGAUGGAUCCGCGGUGCAUUAGUUAGUUGGUGGGGUAAAGGCCUACCAAGACAAUGAUGCAUAGCCGAGUUGAGAGACUGAUCGGCCACAUUGGGACUGAGACACGGCCCAAACUCCUACGGGAGGCUGCAGUAGGGAAUCUUCCACAAUGGGCGAAAGCCUGAUGGAGCAACGCCGCGUGUGUGAUGAAGGCUUUCGGGUCGUAAAGCACUGUUGUAUGGGAAGAACAGCUAGAAUAGGAAAUGAUUUUAGUUUGACGGUACCAUACCAGAAAGGGACGGCUAAAUACGUGCCAGCAGCCGCGGUAAUACGUAUGUCCCGAGCGUUAUCCGGAUUUAUUGGGCGUAAAGCGAGCGCAGACGGUUUAUUAAGUCUGAUGUGAAAGCCCGGAGCUCAACUCCGGAAUGGCAUUGGAAACUGGUUAACUUGAGUGCAGUAGAGGUAAGUGGAACUCCAUGUGUAGCGGUGGAAUGCGUAGAUAUAUGGAAGAACACCAGUGGCGAAGGCGGCUUACUGGACUGCAACUGACGUUGAGGCUCGAAAGUGUGGGUAGCAAACAGGAUUAGAUACCCUGGUAGUCCACACCGUAAACGAUGAACACUAGGUGUUAGGAGGUUUCCGCCUCUUAGUGCCGAAGCUAACGCAUUAAGUGUUCCGCCUGGGGAGUACGACCGCAAGGUUGAAACUCAAAGGAAUUGAC
rnacentral:rRNA from 1 species